rnacentral:lncRNA from 1 species
GUGGGUUCACUUUGAUUUUCUAUUUUCCGAUGCCAAAUAUCCUUGACUAAUAAGGACCUCCAGGCCCUUCUUGAAGGACACUGUGAAGACGGAAUAAGGUGAGGAGGCAUCACCAGCAGCACCUACCAGAGUGCUUAAUGCACGCAGUAAAGUUUCAUACAGUUUAAAGUUUAUUACUUGUGCCUGUUUUCUUGCUAAACACAAAGAUUUGAAAAGGGAACGAAGUAUAAAUAGUGCCCCCUGAAUGCUUACUGGGCACUUGGAGAUUCUGAUACUCCAAAUACGUAAGACAGAGCAAGGCAGCCAGUACUCUAACCGAGAUUCGCCCAAGCUUCUGGCCGGUGGUGUGGAGGCAGAAAAUUUACAGACGGAUUUGAAACCAUUUUAAGUCGUGGAGAUGCGGUUAUCGGAGAAGCAGGGAGCACUGCCGAAGUGUCAGCACGGAGCGACGGCUUCCACGUCCCUGCACCGAGGGACUCAGCCGAAGAGUAUGGCUUCCCGCGGCCUAACGCCAUAUCCCUAGAAUGACCUCAGCUCCCCUUAAAAUGCCAGGAGAAUCUACUGUUCGUUCCAGCCAAAACCUGAGGACAGGCAGAGAGGCUCCUGAACCCCUUCUUAGAGCAACGGCUUUAGCAAGGCUGCCAUUUUACAUCCUUUCUGGGCCUCAGGGACGUCAGUCUACCACAGAACACUGUUUCCGGGAGGAGGACCGCAGAGCUCUCUCCGAAACGGACACGUUGAGGGGGGUGAGUCCCCUCUUCCCGCCGGUCGCUGUGGAGGACCACGGCCGGCCCGGACGGCUGCCUCGCUCCGAGGUGCACCGCGGCCUCCUGUCCCGAAGAUGGCGGCUGCUUCCCCUCGCGGAAUCCCAAGGAAAAUUUAAGACAACGUCGGGUCUAUUUCUUAACUUCUUCGAACGCCUUUAA